AUUAAACCCAAUCACAGCACAAUCCACUCUUCUUUAACCUGAGGUAUCUCAAUUCUAAAAGGGUCAUUACUUAUAUCGGAUGCAUUACGGAUGAGGCUAUUAUUCACGGGUAUACAGGAAUGAAGAAAAGGGUAUACAGGCUUCUCUUUGUAAAUAAACAUAAAAAAAUAUUCAUGGUGAAUAUUUUACUAGGAGGUGCUAUCCUUCAGUUUGAUUUCAACUAUGUGUACACCUGGAAACUUCAAACUGAGUAAAAUGUAUAAGCUUUGCAAUGUAACGACUAGAGUACAAUAUUUAAAUGUAUCUGGUUUUGCCUGCACUGACAACGACAAGAUGAAAAUGAUCAGAUUAUCCACUGGUUUAUGGCAAUACUUUACACACAAGAAAGCUCUGAAGGACCACAUUGUUACUUGGUAACUUGUUAUUGAGCCUCAUCAUUUUAUAUAAUAAUAGUUAUAACAACAUUAUUUACUAUAAUUAGAUAUUGAAUAUGAUAUUAUUAAAACAGUAUUUACCAGGUGUGUUUGUUGAUAUAGCAUUUAUACAGGUUGGGAUGGAUGGAUGGCUUGAUGGAUGAUAAAUGGACAGAUGGAAGGAGGGAUGGACAGCCAAAAAGGCAAAUAAAUGGAAGGAUGGAAAGGUUGAAUAAAUGGACCAAUAUAUAGAUGGGUAGACAGACAGAUGGAUAAAUGAAAUUUAUGAAAA